GGCUGCAGUGGUGUAGUGGUUUGAGCAUUAGACUACGACUCCUAGAGAUCAGGGUUUGAAUCCCUGCUCAGUCA